rnacentral:rRNA from 1 species
AUGUUACCCUGCUAUGCCCCAUGGCCCAAGAUCACUCAAGCAGAUGUCAGGAAAUAUAUGACUGUGUUUAUUAAGGUAGACAGAGAUGGAGAUGGGAAGAUUACUGGUGAAGAGGCAAGGAAUUUGUUUUUAAGUUGGUGGUUGCCAAGAGAGAUCAUAAGGAAGGUGUGGGAUUUAUCCGACCAGGAUAAGGAUGGGAUGCUGUCCUUCAAGGAAUUUUGUUUUGCUGUGUACUUAAUGGAGAGGUUCCGAGAGCAGCGACCACUUCCUGAUGUAUUACCAGAUGGUAUUUGGGCGGAGGGAAUUUCACUACCCUCUACUGGCCAGUUUGCAGAAAACCCUAGUGGCCUGGCUCCCCAUCCAAGUGCUGGGGUUACAAGUAGAGCAAUGCAAGGACCACAUCCUGGAAUGCCUCCUUCAUCUGUGAAGCGACAACAUCGAAGGCCUCUUCAUUUUGAUGAUGAUACUACGCAAACUGAACCACAAAAACCUAAGGUCCCAGCAUUGGAGAAACAUUUGGUUGGCCAGCAUAGCAAAGAGGAAGGAAAUGCACUUGAAGCGAAGUUCAAGGAAGCUUCAGAUGCCGAUAAAAAGGUUCAAGAGUUGGAAAAGGAAAUACUGGAUUCCUGGGAUAAGACUGAUUACCAUCGCACCAAGAUGCAGGAGCUUAUUCUCUACAAGAGUAGGUGUGAUAACAGGUUUAAUGAAGUCCCAGAAAGUAUGUCUGCUGAUAAGCGUGAGGUUUCUAUUAACAGAGAAUCAAAAUCAAGGCCUGUAGACAUGCAAGAGUUUCAGUCCAUUACCAACAAUCAUUGCUGCACCAGCCAGCCUGUUAGAGAGGUGUCAAUAUCGUCAUCACCAUCCUCUAGCAGGAUGAUUGGGAUCUCAAAAAUUCAGGUUAUUGUAUAUAUUGGCAACUUUAGCCCAUUCCCGAUGCAAUUUGAAGACAAUUCUACAAUUGAGCACAUUGUGUGUGCAGCUUUUCAAAAACAAAAUAUCAGCAAAUUUGAUGCAAUUAUCCGAGUGAAUAGCCGCAAUGCUUAUCUUCAGGAUACAUUGUCUUAUUUGAACAUUAAUAACGACAAAGAGUGUAGUCUCUAUAUCGGUCCUCGGCUACGGGGAGGUCAGCCUCCUUCAAGCUCUAAAUGCCCUGUCCCUCCAAGUACUGAGUUAUUCAUCAAAUAUUUAUCAAGGCUUGGGGAUGAACUAUUCGACGUGGUACUUUUUCCAUCAGAUCCAGCCAUAGACUUUGUCGGUAUGGUUCCGUAUUUUGUUUCUCUGGGAUUACAAGGUAUUGAGAUAGCUCAAAUGCUUUUUGAGCUUCUUGAAAGUUACCAUGAGAGACAGAAGUGCGUUUCACAUUUCAUCUUGGCAAACCUUGAGUAUGAUAGUACCUCCAAAAAAUUACUGUUUAGAGGCAGUGUACGAAUAGUGGAUUUUGAUCACAAUAACUACUGCGAGAAUAUGUCUGAUGCUGGCACGGUUUUAUCUGAAAUAUUCCGGUUCGAUGAGUUGAAGCUCCUGGCCGGUUAUUCUGGAAUACGGAUACCACCUGGGACUGCUAACAAUAAUGGCAAGAUCCCCAAGCUUGUACAGCUGUUGAUUCAUGACCUGCAAACUGGAAUAAGAGUAUUCCCUGGUGCUGGCAUGAGCAAGCGUGCAAGGGCUUAUUUCCGCUGCCAUGUCGGUGCGAUGACCUCGGCUGCACGCCUAGCCUUUUGGUUAACAUCGGAGUUACACUUUGAAUAUAUGGGCGGUGAGCAAUUUCUGGACACUUUUAUCGGUGAACUCCAUGUACCUGAUUGGUCAACAUGUGCAAUCCGUUCACCUGCAAUGAUGACAGUAUAUCUUUGGCGGAAUUACAACACCUCCUCCUUGGGAUGCCAAUUGUCCUGUUCGCGUAAUUUUUUAAGUCAUGCUCGAGAAAAUUUAGGUGCCCUGCUUUCAGAAAAACAGGCUGAGGCGUACCUGAACAUUGUGUUUGAGUGGCUGUUGUACUAUCUGCUGUUGAAGUCUUCGUUUCCAGGAGCGGUGAUCAAUUGGAACAAACGUUCUCUACCCCCGGCACUGCCGCCGCCGCCGCCACCUUAUCCUGUGCCUGCUGGCCCAGCUCCAAGGCAACUCAAGUUCUCCAACAACUUUACGUUUGACCAAUUGAUUGAUACCAGUGGAUACUUGGGUGACUGUUAG